AGGGAAGGGAAGGUUAGGGAAGGGAAGGUUAGGGAAGGGAAUGUAAGGAAAUGGAAGGGAAAGUUAGGGAAGGGAAGGAAAGGGAAGGGAAGGUUAGGGAAGGGAAGGUUAGGGAAGGGAAUGUAAGGAAAUGGAAGGGAAAGUUAGGGAAGGGAAGGAAAGGGAAGGGAAGGUUAGGGAAGGGAAGGUUAGGGAAGGGAAUGUAAGGAAAUGGAAGGGAAAGUUAGGGAAGGGAAGGAAAGGGAAGGGAAGGUUAGGGAAGGUUAGGGAAGGGAAGGAAAGGGAAGGGAAGGUUAGGGAAGGGAAGGUUAGGGAAGGGAAUGUAAGGAAAUGGAAGGG